UGUUAAAAAUUUCAUCAUUUUGUACAGUUAAAAACUGACAUAGUAGACAAAAUAACUAGACAGUGACACAUGGUGUGCUAUGUGUAUCGCAUGCUAACGUAUAAAGACCAAUUUUUAACAACAAAAAUGGAUGAAAUUUUUAACA
rfam:Gossypium hirsutum cultivar TM-1 chromosome 8, whole genome shotgun sequence